GGAUCUUCUUUACUAGUUACAACAGACGUUAAUUCUACACCGGGCACAUCAGUGGUUGCAGAAAUCUGGUUUGAAGUUCCAACCACUGGAUUCUGGAUGUUUAAUUCACCAAUGCUGCUUUCCGCUACUUCAUUUUGCUCAUCCAUGGCUGCAAAAAUCUGGUUUGAAGUUCUAACCACUGGAUUUUGGAGGUUUAACUCACCAAUGCUGCUUUCCGCUACUUCAUUUUGCUCGUCCAUGGCUGCAGAUAUCUGGUUUGAAGUUCCAACCACUGGAUUUUGGAGGUCUAACUCACCAAUGCUGCUUUCCGCUACUUCGUUUUGCUCAUCCGUGGCUGCAGAUAUCUGGUUUGAAGUUCCAACCACUGGAUUUUGGAGGUUUAACUCACCAAUGCUGCUUUCAGCUACUUCAUUUUGCUCAUCCAUGGCUGCAGAAAUCCAGUUUGAAGUUUCAACCACUGGAUUUUGGAGGUUCAACUCACCAAUGCUGCUUUCAACUACAUUUUGUUCACCAUGGCAUGACUCAGAAGGCAUCUCUGAGUUGUAUGUAGUAUCAUAUGUAGGUUGGACAGAUUCCACAUCACUGACCACAUCUCUCGUCUCAACAACAGUGGUGGUUUUCACAUUGAGAACAUCUAACGCAUCCAAACUUCGAUUCUCAGUUUCAACCACUGGAUUUUGGAGGUUUAACUCACUAGCGAUGUUUUCAGCAGUAAGAUUAUUUGCUUCAGUUACUUCAUUAUGUUCACCAUGGCAUGUUCCAGAAGGUGGCUCUGGGUUGCAUAUGAUAACAGAUGUAGGCUGAACAUACACCACAUUAAGUAACUCAUCUCUUACCUCAAUGGCAGGAGCUGAUUCCACACUGGGAACAUCUAUAACUUCAG
rnacentral:lncRNA from 1 species